GUUAGGAAUAUUGGACAAUGGGCGCAAGCCUGAUCCAGCCAUGCCGCGUGAGUGAUGAAGGCCUUCGGGUUGUAAAGCUCUUUAGUCCACGAAUAUAAUGACUGUAGUGGAAGAAUAAGCCCCGGCUAACUUCGUGCCAGCAGCCGCGGUAAUACGAAGGGGGCGAGUGUUAUUCGGAAUCACUGGGCGUAAAGCGUGCGUAGGCUGUUUUGUAAGUCAGAAGUGAAAGCCCAGGGCUUAACCCUGGAAUUGCUUUUGAAACUACAAGACUCGAAUUCGGGAGAGGAUAGCGGAAUUGUCAGUGUAGCAGUGAAAUGCGUAGAUAUUGACAGGAACACCAGUGGCGCAAGCGGCUAUCUGGACCGAUAUUGACGCUGAGGCACGAAAGCGUGGGGAGCAAACAGGAUUAGAAACCCCAGUAGUCC
rnacentral:rRNA from 1 species